UACGUAGGGUGCGAGCGUUGUCCGGAAUUAUUGGGCGUAAAGAGCUUGUAGGUGGCUUGUCGCGUCUGCUGUGAAAAUCCGAGGCUCAACCUCGGACUUGCAGUGGGUACGGGCAGACUAGAGUGUGGUAGGGGAGACUGGAAUUCCUGGUGUAGCGGUGGAAUGCGCAGAUAUCAGGAGGAACACCGAUGGCGAAGGCAGGUCUCUUGGGCC
rnacentral:rRNA from 1 species